rnacentral:rRNA from 1 species
UACAGAGGUCUCAAGCGUUGUUCGGAUUCAUUGGGCGUAAAGGGUGUGUAGGUGGCGCCGUAAGUCGGGUGUGAAAUUUCGGAGCUUAACUCCGAAACUGCAUUCGAUACUGCGGUGCUUGAGGACUGGAGAGGAGACUGGAAUUCAUGGUGUAGCAGUGAAAUGCGAUAGAGAUCAUGAGGAAGACCAGUGGCGAAGGCGGGUCUCUGGACAGUUCCUGACACUGAGACACGAAGGCCAGGGGAGCAAACGGG